AACAUAUCUCGACAUGUCCGUGUUGCGUGGAGUCAUGAAGACGGCGCUUGUUUUGUUGGCUUUGGGACUUUCAACAGGUACCUCUCAGGCAGCUGUCGCCUGUCAAGACCACGACGUUAUAUGUAGCACCACGGCGGACGUGUGCAGCGACCCACUUGGGCCCAAGUUGUGUCCGGAGACAUGUCAUGCCUGCCCAACAGUCACUUUAACAGAAACCGUAACCAUGCCGACCAAGGGGGCGGGCGCUUGUGAAGACCACCAUAUCGCAUGCAGCACCGUGGUGGAUAUCUGUAGCCACUCGUUCGGACCCGCGUUGUGUGCAAAGACGUGUGAUGCCUGCCCAUCAGCGCCAUCUACCGUUACCACCACAACCCCUACAGCGCCAUCUACCGUUACCACCACACACCCCUACAGCGCCAUCUACCGUUACCACCACACCCCUACAGCGCCAUCUACCGUUACCACCACACCCCCUACAUCGCCAUCUACCGUUACCACCACACCCCUACAGCGCCAUCUACCGUUACCACCACACCCCUACAUCGCCAUCUACCGUUACCACCACACCCCCUUCAGCGCCAUCUACCGUUACCACCACAACCCCCUACAGCGCCAUCUACCGUUACCACCACAACCCCUACAGCGCCAUCUACCGUUACCACCACAACCCCUACAGCGCCAUCUACCGUUACCACCACAACCCCCACAGCGCCAUCUACCGUUACCACCACAACCCCUACAGCGCCAUCUACCGUUAACUCCACAACGCCUACAGUGUCACCCACAACUACCACCACAACCUCAACAGCGCCAUCUACCGCUACCACCCAUGGCUCCUCUCCUUCCGCAAAGAGCACUGCAACUACCACGACACCUGAUACACCCACAAGUGCCCCAGCUGCCACGACAAAUACAUCUCCAACAACAGACAACGGCCCCACUACAACAGGUGCCCAAACGAGUCCGUGGUCUUCAAGUGCAGUUUACUCCUCUGCAAGCGUUCCCUCUGAAAUCCCAACAAGCAAGCCCACAGCAGGGAAAGUCUUAAAGCGAUCCUGUUUACAGUGCGGGGACGAAACUAGGGGGAUCUUUUGCACUAUUAUGGAGACUAUUAUCCCUAAAUCUUACCCUUGUCCAGAGGGUAUGGGUUUCUGUAUGAGCGACGUUCAACAACACAUGGAUGCUACCACGAAGUACAGGAGAAGGUGUGUCGACGAAGCAACGUGUAAUAUGCAGUGGUACAAACAGACCUCCGGCAACAGCGAGUGUGUGGGCGUCGACCCGACGACACUGUCCUCAAACGUCACGUGCAUGUACUGCUGCACCACCGACAACUGCAACACCGGCAUCAUCCCCAACAGUAAAACCCUGUACAAGCCACAUCCAUAAUGUUGGUAUGUCAGAGAAGUCAUCUUGCCAGAAACGAAUGAUUCAAUCCAAAAAGGUUAUUUUCAUCUACUGGGGAGGUUCUUCUUUGCCAAUAAAAUAUUUAUAUCUGG